rnacentral:rRNA from 1 species
AGAGUUUGAUCCUGGCUCAGGAUGAACGCUGGCGGCGUGCUUAACACAUGCAAGUCGAGCGAAGCACUUUGUUUUGAAUCUUCGGAGGAAGAACGAAGUGACUGAGCGGCGGACGGGUGAGUAACGCGUGGGCAACCUGCCUCAUACAGGGGGAUAACAGUUAGAAAUGACUGCUAAUACCGUAUAAGACCACGGUACUGCAUGGUACAGUGGUAAAAACUCCGGUGGUAUGAGAUGGGCCCGCGUCUGAUUAGCUAGUUGGUGAGGUAACGGCUCACCAAGGCAACGAUCAGUAGCCGACCUGAGAGGGUGACCGGCCACAUUGGGACUGAGACACGGCCCAAACUCCUACGGGAGGCAGCAGUGGGGAAUAUUGCUCAAUGGGGGAAACCCUGAUGCAGCGACGCCGCGUGAGCGAUGAAGUAUUUCGGUAUGUAAAGCUCUAUCAGCAGGGAAGAAAAUGACGGUACCUGACUAAGAAGCCCCGGCUAACUACGUGCCAGCAGCCGCGGUAAUACGUAGGGGGCAAGCGUUAUCCGGAUUUACUGGGUGUAAAGGGAGCGUAGACGGCGAUGCAAGCCAGAUGUGAAAGCCCGGGGCUCAACCCCGGGACUGCAUUUGGAACUGUAUAGCUGGAGUGUCGGAGAGGCAGGCGGAAUUCCUAGUGUAGCGGUGAAAUGCGUAGAUAUUAGGAGGAACACCAGUGGCGAAGGCGGCCUGCUGGACGAUGACUGACGUUGAGGCUCGAAAGCGUGGGGAGCAGACAGGAUUAGAUACCCUGGUAGUCCACGCCGUAAACGAUGACUACUAGGUGUCGGGCAGCAAAGCUGUUCCGUGCCCCAGCCAACGCAAUAAGUAAUCCACCUGGGGGAGUACGUUUCCCAAAAAAUGAAACCUCAAAGGAAUUGACGGGGGACCCGCACCACCGGUGGAGCAUGUGGUUUAAUUAGAAGCAACGCGAAGAACCUCACUCUGACCUUGACAUCCCGAUGACCGUCCAGUCAAUGUGGACUUCCCUUCCGGGCAUUGGAGACAGGUGGUGCAUGGUUGUCGUCAGCUCGUGUUGUGAGAUGUUGGGUUAAGUCCCGCAACGAGCGCAACCCCUAUCUUUAGUAGCCAGCACAUGAAGGUGGGCACUCUAGAGAGACUGCCAGGGACAACCUGGAGGAAGGUGGGGCCCCCCUCAAAUCAUCAUGCCCCUUAUGAUCUGGGCUACACACGUGCUACAAUGGCGUAAACAAAGGGAAGCGAGACAGUGAUGGCAAGCAAAUCUCAGAAAUAACGUCUCAGUUCGGAUUGCAGUCUGCAACUCGACUGCAUGAAGCUGGAAUCGCU